ACCUUUCAUGUCUGUUUAACAAUGAGAAUUAAGCAUCAGUAUCAUAGAUAAGGAGUAAUUAUCCGCCACUCUGACUAAUCCUUUGGACACACGAUUAUAUUUUAUGAUCUGGGCUGCAACUUAGUCUUAACAGUAGCACUCUUGAGUCAACAAUUUAAGACUUACAUGGAAAAAGACAUUCGAAAGACAAAGCUAAAAGCAAAUUACAAUGAUUUAGCCUAUGUUUUAUUUUGCUAAGGCAAUCAUUAUUGUAUCCUACAUAUAUAUACAUAAAUGUCGCAAAAGUAGCAAUUGCACACCAUGAAAGCGUGCGGGUUCACACUAAAAUAUUUAAUUAUGCACAAUUGCUUUUCAUGUCACCUGCAGGUAGAAGAAGAGGCAUUCUAGUCUUUACCUUUUGAAUUCAAUCUAAGGGUUAAAGCAACCCUUUUUAUAAUGAUUCAUCAUUCCUGAUUAAUGCUGAUGACAGUAACAUAACAUAAAUAUCAACAUCAUAUGGUUGCCCCAUGCCAGGUGAUCACAAGCAGAGAUAUAAUUGUGUUACACUCAUAAAUUUCUUAAAACAAGACAAGAAGACCCCAAGAAAGAAAAGGAAAAAAUCGGAUAUGUAUCAGGCAAAAUUGGGUCUCUUUUCCUUUUAGCUGGAGACUUGGAUUGCCAUGAGGCUGUCGUUUUCUGGUAUUAAUCACUUUAACAAGUGUCUUCCAUUUACUGAUGAUUAAGCGAAUAGCCAUCGAGGCCCUUUUUGUGUUGAAAUGAAACGCCAUGACCAUGAUUUCACAGCUUAAGCAAUAGAAGAUCAAAAGAAUAUGCGACAACCUCACAAAGUGCCUUCUAAAAGAGCAUGUGCAAGUGCAUAGAGCAGAGUGCUGAGACAAUAAUGCGCGGAAAAUUGACAGUCCAAUCCAUUAAAGAACGCAG
rnacentral:lncRNA from 1 species